rnacentral:rRNA from 1 species
CCUACGGGAGGCAGCAGUGAGGAAUAUUGAGCAAUGGGCGCAAGCCUGACUCAGCAACGCCGCGUGGAGGAAGACGGCCUUCGGGUUGUAAACUUCUUUUCUGAGGGACGAUGAUGACGGUACCUCAGGAACAAGUUCCGGCUAACUACGUGCCAGCAGCCGCGGUAAAACGUAGGGGACAAGCGUUAUCCGGAUUUACUGGGCGUAAAGCGCCCGUAGGCGGCCAGCCAAGUUGGCUGUGAAAGCUCCCGGCUUAACUGGGAGAGGUCAGUCAAAACUGGUUGGCUAGAGGCUGAAAAAGGCGAGCGGAAUUCCCGGUGUAGUGGUGGAAUGCGUAGAGAUCGGGAGGAACACCAGUGGCGCAAGCGGCUCGCUGGUUCAGCCCUGACGCUGAGGGGCGAAAGCGUGGGGAGCGAACGGGAUUAGAUACCCUGGUAGUC